rnacentral:tRNA from 1 species
GUAAUUAUAGUUUAACCAAAACAUUAGAUUGUGGUUCUAAAAACAAAAGUUAAAGUCUUUUUAAUUACC